UAUGACGGGUAUCCGGCCUGAGAGGGUGAUCGGACACACUGGAACUGAGACACGGUCCAGACUCCUACGGGAGGCAGCAGUGGGGAAUAUUGCUCAAUGGGCGAAAGCCUGAAGCAGCAACGCCGCGUGGAGGAUGAAGGUUUUAGGAUUGUAAACUCCUUUUGUUAGAGAAGAUAAUGACGGUAUCUAACGAAUAAGCACCGGCUAACUCCGUGCCAGCAGCCGCGGUAAUACGGAGGGUGCAAGCGUUACUCGGAAUCACUGGGCGUAAAGAGUGCGUAGGCGGGAAAAUAAGUCAGAUGUGAAAUCCUAUGGCUUAACCAUAGAACCGCAUUUGGAACUAUUUUUCUAGAGUGUGGGAGAGGUAGGUGGAAU
rnacentral:rRNA from 1 species